rnacentral:rRNA from 1 species
CACGUAGGGUGCGAGCGUUGUCCGGAAUUAUUGGGCGUAAAGAGCUCGUAGGCGGUGUGUCGCGUCGGCCGUGAAAACCUGCAGCUUAACUGUGGGCUUGCGGUCGAUACGGGCAUCACUGGAGUUCGGCAGGGGAGACUGGAAUUCCUGGUGUAGCGGUGAAAUGCGCAGAUAUCAGGAGGAACACCGGUGGCGAAGGCGGGUCUCUGGGGCCGAUAACUG